ensembl:lncRNA
CCCAGUCCUAAUCCUUCAUAUCUUGUCCCUUCUGUAAGGACAAUGUUGAGAAGUCCAUGUAGCAAAUCUCCCCCUUCCCCCAGGCCCUUUCUUUUUCCUUUCUCCAGUCCAGGCAAGAACUUGGAUGGUCCCCAACCUGUGUCAGGCACUCACUGCAGCACAACCUGCUACAUCCUGGGAGGAAGCAGUCAAGGUGUCCGAGUACAGACACGGCCGCUGGGGGCCAGCCCGGUCCAUUGCCCAGUAAACAUUCCCACCUGGAAUUCUCAGAGCUGCUCUUCUCAACGUGACCAACUUCCAACACUCUGCUCGGGGUGUCAUCAGGGUUCAAGCAGCUGUUCUCAACCCUCCUCCUUCCUUCACCCCUACGCCUGAUCACUGGUUGAACUUUUCCACUUCUACCUGCUUAGCCUCCCCCGGGUGUGGUCCUAGAAAGAAGCAUGGAGUCACCCCUCACCUCCUGCCGCUGAAACAACAGAGGAGCUCUGCUUCCCUCUGGCAUCAGAAUGUGAGUCAGAAGAGCUGCUCCCCAGACCCAAUCUCCUCUUCUUCCUUUAGGAAUAAGCCCCUGGUUGGGCUCAUGCCUGCACAGCUUAAAAGUGACAUUUCCCAGCAGCUAGUUGAAUCCAUGUGACAAUACUGGCCAGGGGCAACUGAGCAGGAAACAAUGUGUACGGUGGAAACAAUGUAUUAUGUCGGUAAGAAGAAGGGCAUGCCCUUUCCUUCCUCUUUUCCUGCUUUCCACUGCUGGAAUGCGGUUGCAAUGGCAGGAGCUGGAGCGACCAUAAUGGACCAUGUAUUGAGGAUGGCAGAGCAACAAAACGGAAGGACCUGGGAUCCCUGGACAGCUCCAUGGCAGGAGCUAUAAUACAAGCCAGAGCCUUUGCUUGAGAGAGAAAUGCAUUUUUAUCUCAUGUAAGUGUUUGCUCAUUUGAAAUCUAUUCUAGAAGUUGAACCGAUAUGUUAAAUGAUACAGAACUAAAGAGAUCUUAAGUCCAUUUAUGUAGAAUUUUCCAGCUAUGAGAUCUUGCGCAAACCUCUUAAUCUUUCUAAGCUUUCAUUUCCCUAGCUCUAUACCUAUUCCCCCGGGUCAUUUUAUCAACAAAUAAAUGAGAUAACAUCUAAUACA